UUUUCUUUCAAACUAAGCUUCUCUCUGGACAGCCAGCAAGGCCAACUCCUACUGUACAUAAUGAAACACUCACAUCCUGCCUCACAGCCCAGACCAUCUCCUCACAUUGUGUCACAGCACUGUGUUGGUAUUAUCAUUCAUCUGGCAAUUUAAUUUCACAUUAGGACAGAACAUAGCCAAUUCAAUAUUCUCAGUCUUGUCAUCCCUUUGAUUAAAGAUCACUCACUUCAAGAACACAUUAUGAUAGAAAGGGGGCGCCCUCUGGUGGUCCAAGUGGAGAAUUACCUUUAUUCACAGCAGUGUUGGUACAGCUGCACGGUUUCAUCACAGUCAAAUAUUGAAGGGGGAAUCGACUAAGAAAUGAUUUCACCAUCUAAUAGCUCUGUUGAAUGGUUCUGUCUCAAGGUCCAAUCUACAAACUAAUGACGUUCAAUGAAUAUUGAAGCAAACAGCGACUUGUGUCCUCUGCACAUUGUUUUGUUAAAAUCAGGACAAGCAGAAGUUUAAAAACAUGUUUAGAAAGUGUUUUUACUGGUUCAUUUAAAUGUGUUCAUUUUGUGUUUAAAGUUUAUUUGGCUUUAUUUUUACUUACCAGGUGAUCUCUGUAGUCAGUCUUAAGUGGAAGUUUUGUCUUGCCCACUGGAGGGCAGCACUGAGCACAGGUCAGCUAAUCAUGUGUUUGUCAGUGGUGUGUGAGAGGAGAGUGGCAGAGACUCAAUUCAGUGUAGGGAAGACAUCCUGCUAAACUAAUAUGAUGGAUUGUUUCAGUAUUGUGUUUCAAAAUAAUAUUCAUGGAAAGGAGUUGAGUUGUACAGCAUCCUCUGUGAUCUUCUAGGCCAGUGGUUCUCAAACUUUUUAGACUGCGUACCACCUCCGAAAAUAUUUGGCUCUCCAAGUACCACCAUUAUGGUAGAUCUUAAAAUACACUGUAGGCCUAUUUCUACACACAUUUUACGCAGGAGGUUAUUUAUUAUUGACUGUUGGCAGCCACACUAUAGGCCUACUAAGGGCUAGCGCUAGAACUGACACUUAAACUAACACAACUCUGACAUUUACCCAAAUCAAAAAAAAGUGCAGCACAAUAAAAAUGACAACUUUAUACCAACAACCUGUUUGAGAAUAUUUAAUCUCCAGUGUUUCCCACUAAUAGACGAUACCUGGGCCCAAGUAUAUUUCCGACCUGUUCUCAUUUAAUUU